CUCAAGGUGUGAAGCGGGGCUAAGAAUGGGAAAGCGAGUGACUUCCGCCGGAGAAGCUGCAGUUGUCGCCUGUAGAGGGGCCGGCGACUUUUGAGACGGUGAAGAGCAGGCGGGGGAACCAGUGAAGAGCAGACGGUGAGGAGCAGGCGGCCGUUUGGCCGUUGGAGUCCCCCAGCUGACUCUGCCCGGGUAGAACGUCCAAAGUGCCCAAAGACUCGACUCUUGGCUUCAAUGUCUCCCGUGUUCUGGGUUUCUGGAGUGCGCGGGAUUGGACAGGCUACAAACAUAUGAGAUUAUCUACGGCCAGAGGUUAAAAUGCCAUUUCUGGUAUCAGCAAAUCUAAACCAUUAGAGUCUCUGUGGCGCCAUCGGUUAGUGCCUUCGGCUGUUUGAACCGAAAGGCUGGUGGUUCAAGCCCACCCAGAGAUGGUACCUUUUACUUAGGCAAGAUUCACGCUUUCUGUUUAAAGACUUUAAUCCUGGGAAUCUUCCGGACCUCUACUAGCUUUAAAUUCGAUGCCAAAAUACGCUGUGCGAAGGCUCAAGUUCCAUGGAAGUUCCUAAAAACAAGAAUAUUUCAGCAAAAGUAAUUUUUCAAUAGAGCCUGAGCCUGGGGCUUCAGAGCUUACUCCAGAGCCACUGCACUUAUUUCAUCACUUCCUGAAGCUGGGUUUUUACAACUGCACAUUCCUGGAAAUCCAAAACUCCCAAUAAUUGAAAACAAGAAAAUCCCAGUCUUCACUUGUGGUGAAGCCUCAAUUUCCAGGUUGAAAUCUUGGUUGGUUCAUGAUGUGACUUUUAAAACGUUACUGAAUUUUCUGUAUCUCUAUUUCUUCAUCUAUAAAAACAGAAAAAAAAAAGUGCUUCCCUUUCCUGGGUGUGGUGGCUCAUGCCUGUAAUUGCAGCAGUUUGGGAGGAUGAGGCGGGCAGAUCACCUAAGGUUAGGAGUUCGAGACCUGCCUGGUCAACUUGGUGAAACCCCAUCUCUACUAAAAAUACAAAAAUGAGCUGGGCGUGGUGGCAGGUGCCUGUAAUCCCAGCUACUUGAGAGGCUGAGGCAGGAGAAUAG
rnacentral:tRNA from 1 species